rnacentral:rRNA from 1 species
CCUACGGGGGGCAGCAGUGGGGAAUAUUGGACAAUGGGCGAAAGCCUGAUCCAGCCAUGCCGCGUGUGUGAAGAAGGCCUUCGGGUUGUAAAGCACUUUCAGUGGGGAAGAAAGCCUUGGGGCUAAUACCCUCGAGGAAGGACAUCACCCACAGAAGAAGCACCGGCUAACUCCGUGCCAGCAGCCGCGGUAAUACGGAGGGUGCGAGCGUUAAUCGGAAUUACUGGGCGUAAAGCGCGCGUAGGCGGUCUGAUAAGCCGGUUGUGAAAGCCCCGGGCUCAACCUGGGAACGGCAUCCGGAACUGUCAGGCUAGAGUGCAGGAGAGGAAGGUAGAAUUCCCGGUGUAGCGGUGAAAUGCGUAGAGAGCGGGAGGAAUACCAGUGGCGAAGGCGGCCUUCUGGACUGACACUGACGCUGAGGUGCGAAAGCGUGGGUAGCAAACAGGAUUAGAUACCCCAGUAGUC